rnacentral:rRNA from 1 species
UUAAGAAAAUUUUUAUAGAAUUAAAACCAGAUAAUUUAUAUACUAAAAACCAAAUAAAAAUAUCUUUGGUUGGGGCAACCACGAAGAAAAAAAAACCUUCGAUUAAAAAAAGAAAUAAACAAAUUUAAAAAUUUUUAAAAUUUUAAAGAUCCAGAAAAUACUGAUCAAAGGAAAAAGUUACCGCAGGGAUAACAGCGUUAUUCUCUUUAAGAGUUCAUAUUGACAAGAGAGUUUGCGACCUCGAUGUUGGACCGGGACACCCCAGAGGUGCAACAGCCUCUAAAGGUAGGUCUGUUCGACCUUUAAAGCCCUACGCGAUCUGAGUUCAGACCGACGCAAGU